rnacentral:rRNA from 1 species
CAGUAGCCGCGGUAAUACGUAGGUGGCAAGCGUUGUCCGGAAUUAUUGGGCGUAAAGGGCUCGCAGGCGGUUUCUUAAGUCUGAUGUGAAAGCCCCCGGCUCAACCGGGGAGGGUCAUUGGAAACUGGGAAACUUGAGUGCAGAAGAGGAGAGUGGAAUUCUACGUGUAGCGGUGAAAUGCGUAGAGAUGAGGAGGAACACCAGUGGCGAAGGCGGCUCACUGGCUCAUUCUAGACGCUGAGGUGCGAAAGCGUGGGGAGCAAACAGGAUUAGAUACCCCAGUAGUCCCUGUCUCUUAUAC